rnacentral:sRNA from 1 species
ACUGUACUGAUGAGUCCCAAAUAGGACGAAAUAACAAGGUACAAU